rnacentral:rRNA from 1 species
UACGGAGGGUGCAAGCGUUAUCCGGAUUUACUGGGUUUAAAGGGUGUGUAGGCGGGCUUUUAAGUCAGUGGUGAAAUCUCCGGGCUCAACCCGGAAACUGCCAUUGAUACUAUUAGUCUUGAAUUUUGUUGAGGUAGGCGGAAUAAGUCAUGUAGCGGUGAAAUGCUUAGAUAUGACUUAGAACACCAAUUGCGAAGGCAGCUUGCUAAACAACAUUGACGCUGAGGCACGAAAGCGUGGGGAUCAAACAGGAUUAGAUACCCUAGGUAAGU